GUGUCGUCCCGGUGCUCCCCCAUGGACAUGGCGCUCGCGGCGUCCGGCGGCGGGCCGUAGCGGGACAAGCGGACGGCGUCGUCGUGCGCGUCGAGGUGCGAGGCGAUGUGGUCCUCCCCGACGCCGAGGCCCUCCAGGGUCAUCCUCUCCACCGCCCGCUCGAGCUCCGUCAUCUUCUUGGCGAACGACACGAUCGUGUCACUGGACGAACACCUAAGGGUGAGAAGAAAAACCCGAGCUCCGCGCAAGAUGAGGGACGACGACGGCGAACAGUGACUGCUUAGCUCUUACCAGAACUCGGGGUUGCCAUCAGGCCAGAGGAGGCCGGCGAACUCCGGGACGCGGCCGGCGUCGGCGGCGGCGCCGACGUGGAGGCUCUCCCAGUUCAUCCCGGGGGUGUUGGUGAUGUAGCCCCUGUAAGGCCCCACCGUGGAGACGUUCCGCCGCUUGGCCUCCGCCGGGAGCGCGAACAGCUCGCGCGCGGCGCGGGAGAAGAGCGCCUCCCGGAGCUCCGGCCCGAGCGCGCCGUGCGCGACCACGACGCAGCCGUGCGACACCAUGGACGCGGUCACCGCGGCCCGGGCCGCCUCCCACCCCGGCGUCCCCGGCUCGAGCCCUCGCAGGUCCACCUUGGGGAUCGCCAUUGCGCGCGACGGGCGGGGUGCUGCUGCUCCGGCUCGUCUCGGCUUCGCCCGGAGCUUCGUGGCUUUUCUUGCUCUUUGAGUGGCAGGGCUAGUAGCAGAUUAAGCAGCAGUUAUAUAAAAAGACAAAGGAUGGGGCUGUGGGUUCCUGUGGCAUAAUGUCAGCUUGUUAGAGGCGCAGCCCGGUCCAUUAACCAUGGGUCAUCCAGGUCAUAUCGGACCUGCUCUAUCGCAAGCUUAAUUGGAACCACAACUUUAGAUCAUGGGUCUACACAAUGUAAAAAACUAGCAACGUAAAAGACAAGUAUGAUGGGUUAGGACCAACCCCAUCUUUUAAGUCGUGUUCACCUGUGACCCAUGAAAAUUGUUCAGGGUUCCAUUGGAUACACUCCAUUACAGGCUCAACCGGAGCCACAACUUUAGGUUAUGGGUUUACACAAUCAAAAAAACUAGUCUGAAGGGUAAUGGCUGCUUGCAUCUUUUAAGUCAUGCUUCCCCAUCAUCAAUUACUGAUGUGGGACAAAACCAGCACUGCUAGUGCAACGUGUUUUUAUCUAAGCUAUACCGAAAUAAAAAUUGUUGCAUCCAUCUUAAAAUAACAAAAAUUUCCACUCACAUACUGAGAGAAGAUCUUAGUCUCUAAGUUUUUAAAAAUGAAAAGAUUAGUAGUUGGUACACAUACAUAGACCACGACUUAUCAGAGAAAACAACAGUGGAAAUCGUUAGUAGUAGGAGCCAAAUGACGUGCUCACCAAUAGUCAACGAGGGCCACGAUCUAAGAUAGACCAGCUCUCCGAUCUUCCUACUAGCAUACUAAAAUACUAGCAAGAUAUUCUCAUCUGCCUUAUUAUAAAUUCUGCUAAAAAAAAUUGAGCAACCACGAGUACAAAAAUGCUAGGCAAGCCACCACGCAAAAUGCUCAUUUGCAUACAGGUUUCAUGGAUGGCUUGGUUUGAUUUGUGCAAAACAAGUUUUCACAAUCAUUUUCACGAUUUCUAUAACCUGACAUUUUAACUAAAACAAAGGUAUGCUCAAUUGUUUAAUCAUACACUGAGGGUCACGUCCACCCUUCCCCAAUCCUCGCUUGGGUCGGCGUGCUUUUAGAACCAAUUUCACAAUCUCAGCCAUUCCAAUGUACCCGUUCCACGGGUAACAUUCACAUAUGCUGACAUUUCCACCAUAUAUAUACAUUAGUUUUCAAAAUUAUAAGACUAAUAAAGAGUAGUACAAGUCCAGCUGCUCUUUUAACCGUGAGUAUGGCUAUUUGAAUAGAUUAGUUUACUUCCAACGUAGUGGAUGCAUGGUUUUCUCAUACUCUGUGACUUGCUUAACAUAUAAGUCUAAUCUCAACACAUCAGACAUGUCACGGGAUGGUUUUGAAGGCUCUUUGUAGGGAAGCGGUAUACAUUCUAUGGACUAUGCACCCCCAUGUACCGGCGUCUCACAACAGCAGUGAGGGGAGUCCCGGGUUUUUGAGAUUUUCAAAGGCAAAGAGAUAACAUGGGCCCCACAUGUCAGCCUUAGGAAGAGGGAGCUGGAGGAGAGUAGUGAGGCGUGGCGCUCGUCGGUCGUCGCCCGCCACCCGCCGCUCGCCCCGUCAUCGGGGCCCGUGGGGGCGGGGCGCCAAUCUGGCCACUGUAAAGAGAUGGGGGGAGAGAGUGGAGAGGGGGAAAAGGGGAAGAAGAAGCUAGGGUUUCACUGACAUAUGGGGCUCACGUGGGUCCCUCAACUGCCACGUCAGAUAAAACCAGGAUCAACCAGAGUCAAUACUGUCUAAAUAACUGGAGUAAUCUAAUUUGUAAGUUGAGGGAUGCCAUAUAUUUGAUUUUGUCAGUUUAGCAAUAAUUUUGUAAUUCGGUGACAAGAUGAGGUACCUCAGAUGUAUUUUUUCCUCCCAAUUUCCACGUAGGCCCAAGUAUAUAUGUAGGUGAAGGCAACCCAUUGGCCCAAUAAGAAAGCAACCGAGCAGGCCAGAAGUCCGUAUGAGAACGGACAUCGAUUCAUUCCUUUUGGCUGCCUUGAUCGCCCGUUCGUCGUUCCGCCUACGGCCUACCCUGAUCGUGGCGCCAGAACUCCAUAUGCAUUAUCUCGUCUAAGCGUAAAACAGAUUAUGAAUUCUAAUUGAUUCGAUUGGCCUAAUGGCAUUCUCAAUACCUUGAACACUUCGAAAUCACCAAUAUCAAAAAAAAGUAUAAAUUCGUUAUCAUUUUAUUUCAUCAACUAAGUUUAGUACUAAACUUAUCAAGAUUUCGCAUAGGGUCCCUUAAUUUCACGGGAGGGCCCUGAUUAUUACCACAAAAUCAUAUAAUCAUACGUUCUUCCAUGAUCCAUCCAUUCAAACCUAAUAUCAAAUCGCGCAUUAGAAACCUCCGAUAGAAAUCACGUUCUUUUGUGAGGAAAAAGAAAAACAGAGGUCAAAUUUACAUUGCCACUUCGCCAGUACACCUCACAUCACACGCAAGAUUAAUCUUAAUGUAUUGAAAGAAAAUCACUCGAAUAAUUUCAUCUCAUAAGCUAAGUUCAGAAUCAACUUGAAGACGAUUGAUUAUAAAUACUCCCUCCAUCUCAAAAUAUAGCAAAUUUAUACUAAUAAGAUAUGUCACAUCCAGUAUACGUGUCCUAUCCAGUAUAAAGUUGCUAUAUUUUAGGACGGACGGACUAAUUAACUGUCACAAUUAUUCGAACGCUAUCAUUACAUCUGUGCGAUAUCAUUCUGUAGCGUUUACUCCGCAGAACGCCUUGAGUGGGUCGCUGAAUUUGCGGCCUUCCUCCGAGUAGCGGAACUGGAUGAACUCCUCCGCCUUGCACGGCCUGUACGCCAGCGGGUGCUCGCCGUCGACGAGCUCGUCCAUGGCGCUCAGCACCGCGCCGUCCUUGCUCCGGCUGCCGACCAGCACGCAGUACCGCUCCCGCCCGCUCGGCGUCCUCACGCGGUGCACGCUCGCCGGCACCCGCCCGUUCGUCACCACCUGCGCCAUGAGAGAGAGAGAGAGAGAGAUCGAUCAAGAAUUCAAGAUCAACGUGUCGCCGACGGCGAAUUGCGUUGCGUUUGGCGCGUACCCUGAACAGCUCGCCGGCGACGAUGGCGAUGGUGUCGGGCUCGGGGGGGAUGGCGUGCCAGCUCCCGUCGCCGGCCUGCACCUCGAGGCCCUCCACCUCGUGCUGCACGAUGAUGGUGGUCAUGCUGUCGUCGCGGUGCGCCUGCAGGGAGAUGGCGGUCGACGCGUCCGGCGGCGGGCCGUAGUGGGACAGCCGGACGCCGUAGUCCUGCGCGGCGAGGUGCGAGGCGAUGUGGUCCUCCCCGACGCCGAGGCCCUCCAGGGUCAUCCUCUCCACCGUCCGCUCCAGAUCCCUCAUCUUCGUGGCGAACGACACGAUCGUCUCACUGCAAUCCCCCGGACGAACACCCCCCCAAUCCCCCAUGAGAAAUCGAGCUCUGACUCUGAGGAGCAAGAACAUGGCUGG
rnacentral:lncRNA from 1 species